GGGGAUAUAGCUCAAUAGUAGAGCACUUGCCUAGCAUGUGUGAGAUUCUGGGUUCAAUCCCCAGCACACACA
rnacentral:tRNA from 1 species